AGCCUCUCCGGCUCCCGUGAAACAGACCGUGAGUUUACCAAUCUCAUUACCCAUCAAACCAAAAAUAAUAAAUAAAAUAAGUAUAUACCUCUAAUCAAAAGAAGAAGAAAAAAAAAAUAUUAAGCUUUAUUUGGGUAUGCACUGAAAUCACUUUCAGUGUAUUUCAUGUCCAGAUAGAGAUAGAGAAGGAAGCUCAAGAGUAGACAAGAAGAAGAAGAAUAAGAGGUGAAGCAUCCAGAGAGAGAGAGAGAGAGUCAGAGAGAGACGUUGACUUUGGGGUGGUGGGGGUUUGAAAUUAGAA
rnacentral:misc_RNA from 1 species